rnacentral:rRNA from 1 species
AUUGAACGCUGGCGGCAUGCCUUACACAUGCAAGUCGAACGGCAGCACGGGAGCAAUCCUGGUGGCGAGUGGCGAACGGGUGAGUAAUAUAUCGGAACGUGCCCAGUCGUGGGGAUAACGCAGCGAAAGCUGUGCUAAUACCGCAUACGAUCUACGGAUGAAAGCGGGGGAUCGCAAGACCUCGCGCGAUUGGAGCGGCCGAUAUCAGAUUAGCUAGUUGGUGGGGUAAAGGCCCACCAAGGCGACGAUCUGUAGCUGGUCUGAGAGGACGACCAGCCACACUGGAACUGAGACACGGUCCAGACUCCUACGGGAGGCAGCAGUGGGGAAUUUUGGACAAUGGGCGCAAGCCUGAUCCAGCAAUGCCGCGUGCAGGAUGAAGGCCUUCGGGUUGUAAACUGCUUUUGUACGGAACGAAACGGCCCUUUCUAAUACAGGGGGCUAAUGACGGUACCGUAAGAAUAAGCACCGGCUAACUACGUGCCAGCAGCAGCCGUAA